rnacentral:lncRNA from 1 species
UGAAAUUCAAAGUGAAAAUUGUAUAAACCAACUUCCGAAAAUUAAAUUGCUAAGAGUUUGCAAACUAAUCCCAAAAGAACAAAACUAAAACCUUACAAUGGUGUCUAACUCUCAAAAACGGAAAUAACAACUUAUAUUUAUAGUACUAAAGUCUUAAACCAACUAGGAAAACAAAAUAAAAUUGGGCCAGACUCGAACUUGACUGACGGCUUGA